UGCUUUCAAGAGAAGUGCUAGACUCAGAGAUGCUGGAAUGAGUCGCUCACAUUGAUGUAAUCAGAGAAUCCAGGAGCAGGGAGCAGUCGAUGGAGCUGGGACUGUCCUGUCCCCAAGGAUGGUGGCAGCUUGAGAAAGUUCUACUGUGCUCUGUCCUAGUGUGCGGGGGCAGGCCUUACACAGUGGGAGCCUAUAAGUGGUGCUAUCCCUUGGACACAUUCCAAAUCAUUUCCCCGCUUUGAUAACCCAGUUUGGAACUGGCACACUGCUAAGACGGCUUUUUUUUUUUUUUUUUUUUUUUUUUGCUAAAGACCCAAGAGGAUCAGGCAGUCUGAUGCCUGGCUAUCAUUUGGAAUUACAGACGAUAGAAUGUCAAUAUCAAAAUAGUGUCACCUUAAUCAUUCCAAGAGACUUCUGCCCAAGAGACUUCUGCUUUAGUCUUUAGGCUAGUUAUUUUUCUACAAAAGGGUCUGCUUGUUUUGGGGGAGGGGGUGGUGUUCAUCUAUUUCUGCAUCUUGGAAUGUGUGUUUGUGUGUGUGUGUUCAGGUGCAUGUGUAAGCACGUUCAUUCAGAGAACAGAGGAUAACCUUGGGCGUUAUUACUCAGAUAGCUGCCUAUCUUAUUUUGGUUUUUUUUGCUUUUUUU
rnacentral:lncRNA from 1 species